rnacentral:rRNA from 1 species
AGCGAACGCUGGCGGCAGGCCUAACACAUGCAAGUCGAACGAACCUUUCGGGGUUUUUUGCGGACGUGUGAGUAACACGUGGGAACGUGCCUUUAGGUUCGGAAUAACUCAGGGAAACUUGUGCUAAUACCGAAUGUGCCCUUCGGGGGAAAGAUUAAUCGCCUUUAGAUCGGCCGGCGUCUGAUUAGCUAGUUGGUUGUGGUAAUGGCUCAUCAAGGCGACGAUCAGUAGCUGGUCUGAGAGGAGGAUCAGCCACAUUGGGAAUGAGACACGGCCCAAAAUGCUACGGGAGGGAGGAGUGGGGAAUCUUGCGGAAUGGGCGAAAGCGUGACGAAGCCAUGCGGGGUGAAUGAGGAAGGGGUUAGGAUAGUAAAAUUGUUUCAGAGGGGACGAGAAUGACGGUACCGGGAGAAGAAGCACCGGCUAACUUCGUG